rnacentral:rRNA from 1 species
UACGAGGGGGGCAAGCGUUGUUCGGAAUUACUGGGCGUAAAGGGUGUGUAGGCGGUUGUUUAAGUUUGGUGUGAAAUCUCCCGGCUCAACUGGGAGGGUGCGCCGAAUACUGAAUGACUUGGAGUGCGGGAGAGGAAAGUGGAAUUCCUGGUGUAGCGGUGAAAUGCGUAGAUAUCAGGAGGAACACCGGUGGUGUAGACGGCUUUCUGGACCGUAACUGACGCUGAGACACGAAAGCGUGGGUAGCAAACAGG